AAAAUAGAGAGAAUAGGUUUUAUUUUUGAUGGAUCGUGAAAACAAGAGGAAGAGGCAAGAGAAGAAGGAAAACCUAAGGGAAGAGAGUGCAAGAAGCCAUGACAAGAGCUUGAGGAAUCCGAAAACAUAAGAUUGAAGUAGCGGCUUAAGCGAUCGGUGAGGAUGGCUUGUAAAGUCAUGUCUUUAGUUUUAAUAAAUAGGUGUCGGUGUCAUGCUCUGAGACUUGUAACACUGGGGAACGCUUGAUUGAGAGUCGUUUAUGCUCUAUUAUUUCAGUUUGAUUGUUUGGAUAAUUAUUUCUUUUGAAACUAAGGCAUGUGACCUUAUGAAUA